rnacentral:lncRNA from 1 species
CUCCUGAGACUGACACUAAGACCGACACUUGACCAACCCAGACUGUAGUCCUUAACCACGGACACGGCUAUUCGAAUAGAUAUAACUCUGGAGAGGGUGUACUCUUUACCCACAAGUAAAGGAUUUCUUUAGUCAACCCCGAGAUGUUGACUAAUUUCGAUUACGGUCUUUGGGAUGAAAACACACCUGACCCGCACAUACCAGCUUUAAUCCAUCAAGCCAGGGAUCACCCAAAACAAUGAUAAAGUAAAACUCUAAGUGGGAAGGCCUCAUGCAACGGCCUCCAACAGCAUGAACAUUCAGCUUCGGUCCCAGACCGGCCAUUCAUGCCCCCGGACCAAAUGACAUGACUACUGGGGCCAAUAGUAUCAUUCCCUAUGGCCUCUCUGUACGGUGUGUGUAGGAAAGGGGUUAUCAACUUACUGAACCAUACCCUACCUUUGGCAGGGACGUGUGGUAGCACGAAUCAAGUAUGGGGGUUACUGGAACAAGACUCGAUCUACGGUCAACUCAGGAGGUUUAAGUUUCCCUGCAAUGGUUAGCACAAUACAAUUCCUUGGCAGUAGCCAACAGGGUCACCACCUAGUAUGUGUCAACAUACCCUCACUGAUCAUUCUUGUCACAACGAGAUUUCAGUCUCACGGUCACUUUUCUCGUGACUGAUUCUUCUUGCAAAUUAGCCUGGACCAACACAGGCAUAUACGGUACAUGAAAAUCACCAUACUCACUCAUACUUCAUGUUAAAAUGGAGAUAGAAUAUCAUCAAGGGGAAUCAUGCAUGUAUGACCAAUACUAUGCAAAUUUCAUAUGAGUUGAAUAUAUUCAUAAUUCAAUUCUACAUGCAAACAACCACUAUGCAUUCACCAUAUCAUGUCUUCAAGAUGCUUGCCUUGAGCAUGCAGAAAGAUUAGGCGCACUCCAAAACUUUGAAAAUUAUAUCUCCCCUCCACUUCCUAUUUUCAAAAUAUUAUAAUUACCACAUAAUUCUAAAACAACACAUAAAACUUGUUUGUAAAAUUUUGAAAUAAACACUAAAAUAGGUGAAAUUUGAAAAAUAAUAGAAAAAUAAUCAAGUAAUUUGGAGUUCAUAUGAUUUUCCUAUGGAUUUACUAAGCUCGAAUAUUAAAGGAAAACGGACUAUUUAGUAGAUCCAGCAAAAACCAGGACUAGGAAAAAUGUUCACCCUAUCUGGAUAAAUACAGCAUGAUUUUGAAAGUAGGUAUAAAUUUGAAUAAUUUAAUUUGGAUAUGAAAUGGAUUCUGUGGAAUUAUUUGAAAUCUGCUGGAAAAUAAAGGGAAACAGAGAUUACUGUGAUGGGAUGAGCAGAAACGCGCCUUGGGCGCAGUAUAGCCGCCUAGCGCUACUGGGCCGAGCCCAGUCGUUUGGCUGCGUGGGAGGGUUGCGACGUCGAAGGCGUCUCUCUGUGAGUACGCUUUCCGGAGGAGGAGACGUACUUUGGGGAAAACGUCUCUACUUAAAAUGAGCUGGCACCGCGCUGAGUCACUGGCAGUGGGCCCGCCCGGCCCACUGGUCAGGUUUGACCAGUCCACGCGCGCGCCUCCUUGUCCGGCCGAACAGAGGCGGAGCUCCGGCGGUCGGCGCCGGCGAAUGGCGGCACCGUUGGGAAAACAGAGGCCACCUAAGAGCUCAGGAGGUUGAGGCGAACACGUGGGUACCCUCCUUGGUCACUGGAGUGGAGGGAGUCAUCGGCGGCGAGCUCACCCGAGGAGCUCCGGCGGAGACGAAUUGGGCGUUUCGCCUAUGGUGGCUCCCGGGCAAAAUCGAGUGUGGGGGUGGAUCAAUGGGUGCUCAAGGAGGCUAUUGGUGGAGAAACUUGUGAGAGGGAGGGCCGGACGGCGUCGGAACCAUCCGAACAGUGGCGGCGGCAGUAGUUGCCGGAAUCGGAGAAGACGACUUCCUCUGGUCGUGUUGCUGCAACGGGUGGGUCAGUGAGGGAGAGGGAGAGUGAGAUGGUGUUGUUCGAGGGCCUUGGGUGGCUUUUUAUAGGGAGGGGAGGGCAGUGCCGCGGGUUCCAGAGAUGAACACGUCGGCGGCGACCAUUGAUGGCAAAGCGCGGGCGGUGGCGAGGUAGGAGUGGCCGGCGCGGUUAGGUACGGAUGGUGGCCGUCCGUAUUUACCACGGGGUCGCGCUGGCUGGCUCGGGUGGCCUGGGCGGUGCCGUGCCCGAGCUGACCGCGGCGGCGGCCAUUCAAGGCGAGCGAGUGGGUGGUGGCGAGGCCGGUGUGUCGCUAGUGUGGCCGGUGAGCUCCGGAUGAGCUCGAGCCGUUGGCAAUUAAGCCAGAGGGGCUCGGGCAGAGACGUGGACGGCGGUGGACGGCGCUAGGGGCCAAGCGAGGGUGUCGGCGAGGUUCCCGGUGGUCGAGCUGAUCCAGAGGAGGAUCAGGAUGAGAAGGGGAGGCAGCAGAGACACGGCAGGGGCUCGGUGCCGACGCGUGCAAAACACACGCUCUGGCCGCGCCCGGUGCACGCACGUUAGGUGUUCGUCAGAUUGCCAGUGGCAUCUACAGGGACACACACGAGCUAAAAAUCAACAAGAUGGUGCUUCUAGGUAUGAGAGGAGUGAUGGACAUGCUGGUUUGGCCAAAUAACCAGGUGUCCAGUGUAAGUUAGAAAGUGGCAACAUUUCUGUCAUGCCCACAAGGUGUUUGACAGAACGCUAGGGGCAAGCUAAAGGACUUUGAUGGAUUUGAAACUUGCCAGAUUGGGAUCUCUUUAGGUGCUAGAGAUGAUGGUGGAGUUAGUUUGGCAAGAUGAGAAACUUUCUAGUGCAAGUUUUACCAGAAUUCAGUUCUGGACAGAAACUUCAGAGAAGUGUUUGGUGGACUUGCAAGUUGAAAUUGAAGCUUCCCUUCUGGACUUAAGGUACUAGUUGGAAGGACUACAAUAUGGCAAAGUUUCAGAAUUAAUGGAGCUAGAAAAAUUAGGGUUGCAGUUAUAACUCAAGAAUGGGACAGAAUUUGAAAAGAGGAUGUUUCUCUCAAAAUUUUCAAAAGACAUAGUUAGGUUUUUGCUCAAAAGUGAUUUAUAGGCAUCACCCGACCUCUCACAAUUUUUGUGGGAUUUUAAAACAAUUAUUUAAAAUAAUUGUAGUGCAAUAGAAGCAUUUUAAGUAUUGAAAAUGCUUUUAAAAGUAUUACUUGUGGCAAAUUUUAUUAUGAAAAUAUUUCCCACUGUUAUUUAUGAUACAAAUGGAAAGGCUUAUAAAACAACCACAUACCACAACACUUCACAAAAAUAAUCUUCUAUGGAGGGGAGAAUUUUUUGUAAAACAGGAAAUAGAAAAGGCUUUGAAAUUAAUAAAUGACCUAGUAUAAUUCAAAAUUUUAUUUCUGGCCAAAUUUUACUUAAUAAAAUUUGAUUAAAAUUUUGGGGUGUUACAAACUCUACCCCCCUUAAGAAAAAUCUCGUCCUCGAGAUUUGUUAAGGGCAGAAGAACUGAAAAUCACAACAAAUGAUCAUAUGCAGAAUGCAGUCAUGGCAAUGCACUUACAUACGCCCUAAAUUACAAUACAGCGGUUGCAUCAUGUAUACUAGUGCUAGGUACAGCAACAAUGACCGUCUACAGUCUGAAGGUGAGAUCUACAGGGUCUUGUGGAAGGGUUCCCGAUGCUGGAGCACAUUCUUCUUCUUCCGGGGGAAGUGAAGGAAGUAAACGAAGAACACGCCCUUCCGGAGUUGGCCAUGGUGGUCCACCAAUGGCGAUAUGGGGAUUCAGCAUAGCAAGAUAAUGGAGGUAAUCCAUUAGUUGCUGGGUUAGAUGCUCCUGGGCCAUCACAUAUUGAAUGAGAUUGGCCAGAGUUGGAUCCCUCUCUAUGCGUUCACAACGGAACGUGGCUUCUGCUCCAAAAGCUGCGCGGCUCGGGAAAUAGUAGUAUUUCCUUUCACUGGCAGCGGGUAUAGUGAACCGAACACGGGUAACUGCUUCAUAAGCAGCAGCCUCAAUAGCCAUGCCUGAGGUUGGCAUGGAUCUCCCGACGAAGACAACAUAUGGAGGGUCUUGAUUUAAAUCCUCUCGUGGGAUGUGCACAACUGCCCAGUAUUUUGAGGAAUUAGGGGUGAUCCUCAUUUUGAACAACUCAUACUGGGGUGGGUUGCUGGAACCAAGGGUAUUGCGGGUCAGAUCCCACAAAACCUUAAUGAAACUACCAGGGCUUGCAUCUGGAGUUCGUAGGUAGACUCCAGGGUGAGACAUGGAAGGAUGAAUGGAGAAGAGCGGUGCUCAAGUGUGGUGGUGGCUGGUGUGGUGUAUGGAUAUGGCCCCUUAUAAGGUGCCUGGGCUAGGAAACACGAUGCGGCGCUGGCACGACUUGUGCAUCGGCUCCGACAUAGGGUUGUCCAAGUCAAAUUCUCGGACACCACUUCUCAAAAGGAGUGUGACAUAUUACUGUGCGUGUCGGCAGUCACAUCUAGCAUUUACUCUGUCGCCAUACACCAAUAAUUUACGCUAGAUCACACAUAGUACCAUUACAACAAUGGCACACAUGUAGUUGACAAGCUCACUAUGCCAUACGAUUGGUACCUUGAAAAUACAAGACAACAGGACUACUAAGAUUUGACAAUACUCCUGGUGGACUCAGUCCACCUCAUUGACAUCUAGCCGGGCGUGUCUUGCAGAUGUCGAGGCCUCUCCGUGAGCUUCAGUGUCGGAGUUGUUCGGGGUAGGAUGGGGAGCUAUAGUGCUGGAUAGCGAUGAUGCCCCUCGUGGGGUCUCGUGGUCACAAUCCCGUUGGAGUAGGUCUCCAAGAGACGACGGAGUUCUCCUGGGGAGGCAAAGGCAUUGUCGGGGUUGAUGAUAGGAGCAGACCUUGGGGGUUCAACUGGCCUCCCAAGUAGCAUUAUUGGGGUGUCGGUGUUGGUUGCAGCUUCACUCCUUACCGGUGUCAGGAGUGCAAUCGUCCUGCGGGUCGCAAUCAGAUCAUUGGUGACCUGAUCGAAUAGUGCCUCUUGCGCCCUCAGGUAGCGCACCAGAUGCACUAGAGCAGGAUCCAACUCAUGGUCACCGUUGGCGACUUGGGUCGGGCUACCAUAGCCUUCACGACUAGGGUAGUAGAAGAAAGGGCGGGUGUUAACCCUCGGCGACAAAUGCCGAAGAUGAACUAUACCCUCUCGGCUGCAAGUUGGAUGGCUUGGGGCUCGUCGGAGGUCAUCCUUCCGGUGAACCGGUAGGGGCGUUCUGAUGUGGUGCCCCUCCCGUAGAUGUGCACCGUGGCCCAGAAGUGAUGGAUGGCAUCACUUGUGUGUUCCUGGUACACAACAUAUUCUGGGGGUUCGUCUAUGCCAAAAGCACGAUGAGUGAGAUUGGCGAGGAUCGCUACAAAAUCUCCAAGCUCGGAUGCGGUGGUCUCGUUGCGGACGAUGGGACCAUGCAUCUUGGUGGUUUGGAAAUCAAGCUGCGAGUGAAGGCGAUGAUGUGCUGAGUAAGGGCAAGGCUUCCUUUAUAAGCCAGCGGAGUCUUCCAUCGCACGCUUGCGGAUGGGACAACUCAGGUGUCGGCCACGGGCGCACGGCCUAUGGCCUAGGACAAUAGGUUGGGCACCGACUAACAAAAAUCUGUCGGGUGGCCACUAUGCAGGCUAUCGGUUAGGAUGAGCUUGACGGUGGAUAGAAAAGGAUAUGGUCGGUGUGAAAACCUAGGGAUAGUGACCAGGCUAAGAUAGGAUUAGCCGGUGGUCAGCCUAGCUCUGAUACCAAGGUUGUCGGGGCCGGAUUUCCGGGACAUAAAUUCCCAGCAAACGACCCUUAUGUCACCACCAGCCCCAGGAUUACUGUUGCUGGUGGAUAUUUCCUUGAUACAGAAUUCCAAGAAAUUACAAGGAUUUGAGUACAAGACCUUAUAGGUCCAUUGAGUACAACAAUGAUUUCGAGUGGCAAAUAAUGGAAGCGACUCGUGGAUCUCCAACGCUGAUGGAACUCCAUUCCCACGGGAACAGCUGACCUGGAUAACUCCUAUCUCGCGCGGUUGCUAUCUCUGAAUCCUAGGUUGCGAGGUGGCUUCGUAGUACUCCUCUCUGAAUCAUGAUCUGGCCAAGACAAUAGCCAUGGACAAGCCAGUGAGUACGUUUGAAUGUACUCGCAAACAUCAAGAACAAAAGAUAUAGAGGAUGCAUAUGCUCAUGAUGAAUUAAAUUAUAUGCAUGUGCAGACUGAGAAUUCAAGCAUGGCAUGAAAAUAUUCAUACGGUGCAGAAGGAUAAAUUAGUCAUGUUAUUAGUAAAUCAAAGAAAUGAAACGGAACGUCGGGCGUUGGACCGCCCGAGAAAUUCCAAGAGAAAUGCCAAACGGGCGUCUAAAAGAGAAUCGGGCGAGACAGGACCGCCCGAGAACUCAAGCGAGACCACGAGAGGUCUUGAAAAGAAAUGCCAAACGAGUGUCUAAAAGAGAGUCGGGCGAGACAGGACCGCCCGAGAACUCAAGCGAUGCCACGAGAAGUCUUGAAAAUACACGGCACAGUCGGGUGUCUGAAGCGACGCCUCAUAAAGGGCUUAUAAGAAAAUAACAUGAGCAUUCAGGUGGACUAGCCAUCCCAAGAGAUACUCACAGUUGCACAUAAGAGGAAACGGUUAGUCCACAACAAUAUUCAUGUCAACAAUAAUAUUCAUAAUGGCACCAGCAGUGACAAUAAUUACCCUGCAGGACGAACCAUGAUCAAUUUAAUUAUUUCCUCCGGAGACUGACACUAAGGCCGACACUUGACCAACCCAGACUGUAGUCCUUAACCAUGGACAUGACUAUUCGAAUAGAUAUAAUUCUGCAGAGGGUGUACUCUUUACCCACAAGUAAAGGAUUUCUUUAGUCAACCCCGAGACGUUGACUAAUUCCGAUUACGGUCUUUGGGAUGAAAACACACCUGACCCGCACAUACCAGCUUUAAUCCAUCAAGCCAGGGAUCACCCAAAACAAUGAUAAAGUAAAAAUCUAAGUGGGAAGGCCUCAUGCAACGGCCUCCAACAGCAUGAACAUUCAGCUUCGGUCCCAGACCGGCCAUUCAUGCCCCCGGACCAAGUGACAUGACUACUGGGGCCAAUAGUACCAUUCCCUAUGGCCUCUCUGUACGGUGUGUGCAGGAAAGGGGUUAUCAACUUACUGAACCAUACCCUACCUUUGGCAGGAACAUGUGGUAGCACGAAUCAAGUAUGGGGGGUUACCGGAACAAGACUCGAUCUACGGUCAACUCAGGAGGUUUAAGUUUCCCUGCAAUGGUUAGCACAAUACAAUUCCUUGGCAUUACCCAACAGGGUCACCACCUAGUAUGUCUCAACAUACCCUCAUUGAUCAUUCUCCUCACGAACGAGAUUUCAGUCUCACGGUCACUUUUCUCGUGACUGAUUCUUCUUGCAAAUUAGCCUAGACCAACACAGGCAUAUACGGUACAUGAAAAUCACCAUACUCACUCAUACUUCAUGUUAAAAUGGAGAUAGAAUAUCAUCAAGGGGAAUCAUGCAUGUAUGACCAAUACUAUGCAAAUUUCAUAUGAGUUGAAUAUAUUCAUAAUUCAAUUCUACAUGCAAACAAACACUAUGCAUUCACCAUAUCAUGUGUUCAAGAUGCUUGCCUUGAGCAUGCAGAAAGAUUAGGCGCACUCCAAAACUUGGAAAUUAUAUCUCCCCUCCAUUUCCUAUUUUCAAAAUAUUAUAAUUACCACAUAAUUCUAAAACAACACAUAAAAGUUGUUUGUAAAAUUUUGAAAUAAAUACUAAAAUAAACUAGGUGAAUUUUGAAAAAUAACAGAAAAAGAAUCAAGUAAUUUGAAGUUCAUAUGAUUUUCCUAUGGAUUUACUAAGCUGGAAUAUUAAAGGAAAAUUGACUAUUUAGUAGAUCCAGCAAAAACCAGGACUAGGAAAAAUGUGCAACCUAUCUGGCUAAAUACAACAUGAUUUUGGAAGUAGGUAGAAAUUUGAAUAAUCGAAUUCGGAUGUGAAAUGGCUUCUGUGGAAUUAUUUGAAAUUUGCUGGAAAAGAAAAAGGAAACAGAGAUUACUGUGAUGGGCUGAGCAGAAACGCGCCCUGGGCGCAGUAUAGCCGCCUAGCGCUACUGGGCCGAGCCCAGUCGUUUGGCUGCGUGGGAGGGUUGCGACGUCGAAGGCGUCUUUACUAUUGUACGUUUUCCGGUGGAGGAGACGUACUUUGGGGAAAACGUCUCCACUUAAAAUGAGCUGGCACCGCGCUGAGUCACUGGCAGUGGGCCCGCCCGGCCCACUGGUCAGGUUUGACCAGUCCACGCGCGCGCCUCCUUCUCCGGCCGAACAGAGGCGGAGCUCCGGCGGUCGGCGCCGGCGAAAGGCGGCACCGUUUGGAAAACCGAGGCCUCCUACGAGCUCAGAAGGUUGAGGCGGACAUGUGGGUACCCUCCUUUGUCGCUGGAGUGGAGGGAGUCGCCGGCGGCGAGCUCACCCGAGGAGCUCCGGCGGAGACGAAUUGGGUGUUUCGCCUAUGGUGGCUCCCGGGCAAAAUUGAGUGUGGGGGUGGAUCAAUGGGUGCUCAAGGAGGCUAGUGGUGGAUAAACUUGUGAGAGGAAGGGCCGGACGGCGUCGGAACCAUCCGAACAGUGGCGGCGGCAGUAGUUGCCGGAAUCGGAGAAGACGACCUCCUCUGGUUGUGUUGCUGCAACGGGUGGGUCAGUGAGGGAGAGGUAGAGUGAUAUGGUGCUUUUCGAGGGCCUUGGGUGGCUUUUUAUAGGGAGGGGAGGGCAGUGCCGCGGGUUCCAGAGAUGAACACGUCGGCGGCGGCCAUUGAUGGCAAAGCGCGGGCGGUGGCGAGGUAGGAGUGGCCGGAGCGGUUAGGUACGGACGGUGGUCGUCCGUAUUUACCACGGGGUCGCGCUGGCUGGCUCGGGUGGCCUGGGCGGUGCCGUGCCCGAGCUGACCGCGGCGGCGGCCAUUCAAGGCGAGCGAGUGGGUGGUGGCGAGGCCGGUGUGUCGC